UGGAGUUCGAUGUGCGUACCAGCCAUGAGAGGGGGUUUGGCAGAGGAGCAUGAACAAAAGCUUGCUGGCAGGAAGCAAGUGCCAUCUUUGGGGAGGGUGCAUGGACUGGAGCUUGGGAGUCCUGUACACCCCACCUGCCCACCUCUCUCUCUUCUUGCAGACUGUAUUUCUCCUCUGGAAUAGCUUCAAUGACCCCCUCUUCGGUUGGCUCAGUGACCGCCGGUUCCUCAGCUCCCAGCCCCGGUCAGGAGCAGGGCUCUCCUCCAGAGAUGUGGUGCUGACCCGGGUGCGGGCUCUGGGUUGGCACGGGCCACUGCUGGCACUGUCCUUCCUGGCAUUCUGGGUGCCCUGGGCCCCUGCUGGCUUACAGUUCUUACUGUGCCUGUGCCUUUAUGAUGGCUUCCUGACACUCGUGGACCUCCACCAUCAUGCCUUGCUGGCCGACCUGGCGCUCUCGGCCCAUGACCGCACCCACCUCAACUUUUACUGCUCCCUCUUCAGUGCAGCUGGCGCCAUGUCUGUCUUUGCCUCCUACGCCUUUUGGAACAAGGAGGACUUCUCCUCCUUCCGUGCCUUCUGUGUGGUACUAGCUGCUGGCUCUGGGCUGGGCUUUUUGGGGGCCACACAAUUGUUGAAGCGGCGGAUUGAGGCGACCAGAAAGGACAGGGGUUGCCCGGGCCUGGUCAUGGAUGGUGGGUAAGUGACACUAGCCUUGGCUCCCUACGGUCGGAACUUGGUUUUAAUGCCCACUCCUGGCCUACUCUGGUGGAACCCCACGUCGUCCCUUCCUCUCUGUCCACAGCGUGUGUGAAGAGGAGCCGCUGGUGGGUGGUGAGGAAGCAGGCAGCAUUACCUUGG
rnacentral:lncRNA from 1 species